ACAGUCGGUCGCAGACCGCGCUGGGUUGCCGCCGCCGCUGCCGCCAUCGUGCCAGCCCCUCGGGUCUCCGUGAGGCCGGGUGACGCUCCAGAAUGGGAGACAAACCAAUUUGGGAGCAGAUUGGAUCCAGCUUCAUUCAACAUUACUACCAGUUAUUUGAUAAUGAUAGAACCCAACUAGGCGCAAUUUACAUUGACGCAUCAUGCCUUACGUGGGAAGGACAACAGUUCCAGGGGAAAGCUGCCAUUGUGGAGAAGUUGUCUGUAAGUAGGGAUGAAAGCCAGGGUGCAGGUGGCUCCUUUCCCAACCCUUCUGGCCUUGCUUCUCCCACCUCCCACUCUCUCUCUUGUAGAGCCUUCCGUUCCAGAAAAUCCAGCACAGCAUCACCGCGCAGGACCAUCAGCCCACUCCAGAUAGCUGCAUCAUCAGCAUGGUUGUGGGCCAGCUUAAGGUAAUGGUGCUGCCACAGUGGUAGGGAGGGGUGGGCAGGCAGAGGAGAGUCUUGUACCCCUGCUUUCCCUGUGGAUGUGACCUGCUUAUCUAGGGACACCCAGACAAAGUGACUGUCUGGAGCUGUGUAGUUCAGUAUGCUA
rnacentral:sRNA from 1 species